rnacentral:rRNA from 1 species
ACUCCUACGGGAGGCAGCAGUGGGGAAUUUUGGACAAUGGGCGAAAGCCUGAUCCAGCCAUUCCGCGUGCAGGAUGAAGGCCCUCGGGUUGUAAACUGCUUUUGUACAGAACGAAAAGGUCUCUAUUAAUACUAGGGGCUCAUGACGGUACUGUAAGAAUAAGCACCGGCUAACUACGUGCCAGCAGCCGCGGUAAUAC